ACCCGGCGGCGCGGCGUGGGUCGGGAGCGGGCGCCUGGGACUACUUCUCGUUUGAAAGUUUUCAGAGGCCAAAAGUUUGAGCCGGGGCUGCGGAAGGAUCCGGCUCUGGCGGUUGCCGCGCUCGGCGACAACUGGCGACUGAAAUUUGCAUAGAAGAGAGUGGCCCAUUCGGUGUCCACCCGUCAGGCCACCCAGCAGCCAGGCACGCUCAUAAGCCCGCGUUACGGAUGGUGCGGCCGGGUGCACAGGCCCGAGGGAAGCACAGGCCUCGGCCUCCCAGCUCCCAACCCCUGCACCACCCACAGCCGGGAGUACCCCAUGGACAGCUGUGGCCGAGGAGAAGCCAGGGAUGAGGGGGAUGGGCCUCACCUCCCCACCAGCCUGGGAAGGGGGUAGGCCCCUGGCAAGUAGGUGAGAAGCUUUUUCAUUCACAAGUUGUCCGGGCUCCCCAUUCCUCUUUGUCAGGCCAGCGGGUGUGGGCAGUCGGGGGAGGCUGGGGUCCUGACACAACAGGAGUACAUCUGCUGGCCUAGGGCCUGGAGACCUUCUCCUACAGGUCGGGAGGCAGCCCUGGGCAGCGGGCAUUGCGGGGACUAAAGAGAAACAAGAGCAGGUUGUGUGCAGGGCACCCCAGCCACUCCAGAAACCCAAUGGGAGGGUGGGGGCUAGGACCCCAAGAAGCUGAAUUGGGGUGCAGUGCCGCCAGGCCUCCCCUGUAGGAGUCACUUUGGGCUUCCUGUCCCAACUUGUGGUGGGAGCUGGGGCAAGGUUCCAGGGGUACCCCGAAUGAAUGGGGCUGUUCCCAAGCUGGCCAGGGAGCCUGGAAGCAGAUGAGAUGGGGCCGCAGAGCCUGGUUUGCGGAGGGGAGAGGCAGACGUGUCCUGCAGCCCUCUCUUCUUCAGAGGCCCCCUGCGGGUGCUGAGGGGAGAGUGGCUUAGGCGUUGCACCCCAGGAGACUGAACUGGGUCAGUUCCCCCUUGUUUGCUGCCAGAGAAAUGGGGGUACCAUUGUCAGGGUGAGCUAAGGAGGCCCUGCUGACAUUGGCCCAACCAGGCCCCUCCUUUGCGGCUGCUGUGGGGACUUUCGAGAGCAGAGCACACCCCUAAGUGCGUGGAGAGGAGGGAAGCUGAGGCUCAGAGACAUCAUGAGGAUGCCAGCUCAAGGCCCAGCCAGGCCUUGGUCCUCAGCUGCUGUCAUCCAGUAGGGUAAGUGGGACCCCCAGGAGGUGUUGGGGGACACUCCUCCCCUCCCCCACACUCACAGUCUGUUCACCGCCCAAGGCAGCAGGCUGGACUCGGUGCAGGGACCAUGGCUUGGCGUGGCCAGGUUGGAGUGGCCCCUGGGACUGAAAGCAGGGGGCGUGGGGGCUCUGAGGCGGGGCCGAGUGCGGGGACGUCCUGUGGCGGGUACCCUGCUGGGUCCUGGGUGGGGGCCACCACCAGGCAGCUGUGGGAACAUUCCAGACCACCUAGGAGUAGGGCCCCUUCACCGUUUGAAGCUGACUGUAAAAAACAUCUGACCUGUGUGCAAAGCUCAAGCCCAGAGGCCUCCAGGGUGUCCAGCCUCCAGGGUGCCUCCUACGCAGCCUCCACGUCCCCAUCCACUGCAGCCCCUGACCAUCGGGCACACCGUGGGGCCUUCGCUGGCCGCCGGGCCUCAGGUUCUGCUGCACCAAGUGAUUUUUAAAGCCCCAUCUGCCUUUCUCCACUUAUAAAGAACUUGGGACAUUUCCUCGAGGUUGGGCAUUUUUCCAGAUGUGGUUUCAGUGUCUCGCUUGCUACCUGGUCCCCUGUGCUGGGCGGUCCGCUGUGACGCACCUGGCAGUCCUUGCUCUAGGAUGGAUUCGGGCCGGCCCUUGUUCUGAGAACAGAGAACGGCCCUUGUUCUGAGGAGGCUGGGGUCUGGAAUCUGCUUCCUGGUCCCCUGCUGUGUGCAGACAGCCACCGUCACCCAGGCCCAGGGGUGCCUGCAGGUGCUGGGCAUCUCACCCUGGCCCCCACAGGGGCUCCCCAUGCCCUGCACCCCUCGGUCUGUGCCGGGGACUUCCCUGCUCUGCUGUUGCAGGCCUCGUCCUUUGCCGAGGGGGUCUCUUUCCCACGUGUCCCUGAGACUCCUCAGCCAUCCCAGAGGCUCUCGGCCGUCUGAGCACCCCUGACCAUGAAGCCUUCCUGGCCCACUCUCUGUGUGUGAGGCAGAGCCCAUCCCUACCAUUCCGACCCACACCAGAGGCUCCGGAAGGUUUGCUGACUGACCUGUGACUGCAAGAAGCUGAAGGAAUGUGGGCGCAGACCCGGCAGGGGCUUUUCUUGGUGCAAAGUCAACUGGCUGUCCAUGCAAGCCUGCUGCUGUGGCCAGCCCUCCCGCCAGGCGCCUGGUACCCUCCCUGGACCCAGUUGCCAGGACAGUGAUCCCCAGCUGUGGCCAGGACUCUGCCCGGGGCCCUGUCUACUCAGUGUCUCCAGUGGUCCCCAUGCAGAAACUGCCCCCCUUGCUGCCCAUGAGGCAUGGGAUAGGGUCAGCAUCCGAGAGGCAGGCCCUGCUGUUCCCCUCUGCACAGAGGCUGGGGGAGUGAGUUGCCCGGGCAAGUCCCCGGGCAGGCACUGGGCCUCCUGAGCAGGUGAGCUGAGAAGGCCCCAGCUGGUGUAGGCCUCGAGAGCUGCAGGACUGGCCAUGGGGCAGACCUGGCAUUGUCAUUCUAGAGCUGGGCCUGGGGGGUGGCUGGUGCAGUGCAGAUCUCAGGUGGAGGCCACCUGCCCGUCCUUUCCACGUGGCUCAGGGCUCAGACCCACCUGCCUGUCCCUGGAAGCCCCUAGACUGCUCAGAGCACAGACCUCAGUGGGAAAGACAGUAGAUAGGCCUGGGUAUGGUCUCCCAGCCCUGAGAAGUGGGGAGCCCACUCAGACCUUUCCAGGACCCCAGGUCCCCUCAGCAGCCCACAGAGCGUGGGUGGAGCCUGGGCUGGGGUUGGGUCACUUGGGAGCCAAAGGCCCAUUUCUGCUGCUUCCAGGGAGUCCCAGGGAGACGGCAGAGGCAGUGCCUGGCUGGGGCCCUGGUUGGCGUGCCGUUUGAGGGGUGCAUGCACUGGGAAGUUGGCCAGGCCUGCCCAAAUCAGGGGGCUUCCAGGAGGAGAGACAUCAGGAGGAUGGGCACAGAGGCGGCUUAGCACCAGGGCUGGCACCUCCAGAGGGACAAUGUUGGUGUCCCAAAGCACAGUCCUUUGCCCCGGAGGAGCCACCGGCAGAGCCAGGAGCCCCUGAAGGACUUUGACCACACCCCCCACCCCACCCCGACCUGUGCCUGGUGCCCCAAGUGGAGCCUGGGCCAUCCUUGACCUCACCGCUGGGGUGAUGGAGAAGCAGCCGCCCGAGGCGAGAGUUUCUCAGGUGGCCGGGGUUUCCCCCCAUUUGCUCCAGACACAUUUAAACAAGCUGAGAACUUCCGUCCCCCCAUACUCCCCCCCGCGGACCCCCACGGACCCCCUCUGCAAAUGAACAUGGGCCUGGAAAUCGGGGUGUGGGUUACAGAGAGCACGGGGAAUUCUGCUCGUGAAGUAACACGGAGCACGAACAUAAGCAGGUACCGCACAUCUGCGAGCUAUUCGGGUCUCCGGGGGAAGGCAAAAAGCCCCAACAAGCCUUAAGUAAGACCAGGACGCUUCUAUAGUUUUGCUUUGACAGCUAAGGAAAAAAUCUGCCAAAAACCAGAGGCGCUGCUGAGUGUUGGCGUGGGAAUGCUAGUUUAGUCAGAGCCUUGCUCUGGGCCAUUUAAAUAAAAACAGACAUGUUGGUGGCAAAUGCCAGUUGAACACGCAGGAGAGCGGUGCUUCUCGGGCCCGGAGAAGGGUUUGCAGCUGCACUCUCUCUUCCCUUUUCUCUUGGCCUCCCCAGCCUUCUUAUCAUCACGAUCAGCAUUUCACUGGUAAACAUUUGGUGCAAUAAUUUUCAAAAAUCAGCAAGAAAAGUCUGAGCGUUUCAUGUGGCUGUGACUGCGUGGCCCCAGCUGGAAGCAUGGAUUCCCAGCGCCUCCCAGAGCCUGUCUCCGAGGGAUACUCUAAUCACUUGAGGGCCUUUGCACGACAUAAAUCAGACCGACUAUCUCUAGAGUGGAGAGGGGGAUAAACUCACUUGUAGCAAGUGAAGGCCAGAGGCUGCCCUGGGAUGGCAUUGCCUGUUCCCAGGGGCUUGUGGUGGUGCAGCAGACAUGGGGACCCCUGGGCCCCUUCCCCUCCUUGCUGGGGAUGCCACACAGACCCACGUUCAGGGACCUGAAUUCAGAGCCUGCCCCAGGGGUGGCGAAUGUAUCUGGGACACUGAGGACCCCCCUACCGGGUGCAUCUCAUGGCCUUUUGGUCUUUUUUUUUGAGACGGAGUCUCACUUUGUUGCCCAGGCUGGAGUGUCAUGGGGCGAUCUCCGCUCACUACCACCUCCGCCUCCCGGGUUCAAGCAAUUCUCCUGUCUCAGCCUCCGAGUAGCUGGGAUUACAGGUAUGUGCCACCACGCCAGCUAAUUUUUCUAUUUUUAAUAGAGAUAGGGUUUCACCAUGUUGGUCAGGCUGGUCUUGAACUCCUAACCUCGGGUGAUCUGCCUGCCUUGGCCUCCCGAAGUGUUGGGAUUACAGGCGUGAGCCACUGCACCUGGCCAGCCUUUUGGUCUUGAAGGGUCUCUGGGAGGGCCUCAGAGAAUGUCUUGGUUUCCUCACUCUUGGGUUCCCAUCGACUGAGGUCAGGGCUGGGAAGGGGUGAUGAGCCCAGGACUCUUCUGGCGAGAGCGAGGGUCUAUGUUGGGGGGCUCCCUUCUGCCACCUCUCCUUGGUGACAUGGGGCUGGCUGGAGAGUCCCUCCGUGCCUGGGAGUUCCUCAGUGUAGGGGGGGAAGGGGGCCACUGCAAUGAAUCUGACACCAGCCCCCUCUCUCUCCGCCCUGCUGGCAGCCCUCACUCAUAUGGGGGGCGGGUCUGUCCUCCUUUCCCCAAAGCUGGGGGUCCUGAGUGUGGUUGGGGUAACGUCUGGUCCUCCUUAGAACAGUGGGGCUUGGAAUUCAUUCAAGGGAAGAAGAGUGAAGGAACGCAGAUGCCGACUGCAUGGAGCCCCCCCGGGCUGCAGCCCCUAGAGCCUGGGCGCUCUGUGAGCCAGAAAGAGAACGGCUGGGGAGAGGGCUGUGUGAGGCCCUGUUCUUCCAAGACCGCUGCGGAGGACCGACGGGGCCCAGGGACCCUGACUGAGGUGUGCCGAGCACAGCAGCUCUGGACAGGCCGCACCGGCCUCUCUGUCUGUCAUCUGUCCACCUGUUGGUGGGCAGGAACAGACCUGAUGCUGUAAGAAGAGGCCCCCAGGACCCUGCCUCUCCCAUUGGCUGAGCCUGGACUGUGGAGCCAGCCGCCCUCACACUGGGCACAGAUGACCGACUUAGGUUUUGAGAAGAUCCAAACAGCAGCAGGACGUGCACCUGGUAGGGGUAGGAGGGCCUCCCCUGGACUCAAAAGUGUAUUCGCGGAGCCCCUUCCCUGCAGCGUAGGCUCUGGGGGGACAGUGGCCAGGACGGAGGCCCUCGUGGAAAGGGGGAGAUGUGAACAGUGAGCCUCCUGCAUGCAGGCAUCUGGGAAAGAACAUUCCAGCCAAGUGGCUCUGAGCACACCCCGACCCUGGCCACCCUGGCCCUGUGGACCAACCCUGGGGCCCAGGAUUAAUGACAGCCAGUGCUCGCUGGUGCCUCCAGCCUGGGCCAGGCCUGUGGGCUGGUCCCUUCAAUGAUGGGGCAAGCUCAGCCCCGUCCACACCCUUCUCCUCCUCCUCUGUGCUUCCCUCCACCCCCAGGAGUGGGCUCCAGGUCUGUCACUCGUCACUCAUGGGGGGCUGUGGGUUGACUCGUAUUCCCCCAAAAGACUCGCUGUAUACCCCCAGAGCUUGUGAGCAGGACCUGUUUUGGAGAUGGGUCUUUGCAGAUGUCGUCGAGUUAAGACAAGGCCAUGCUGGAGUGGGGCCUGCCCUAAUCCAACGACUGGGGCCCUUGGCAGGAGAGGGAGGUUUGGGGAGAAGGCGCUGGGAAGACAGGCAGAGGCUGGAGACAGUGCAGCCCCAAGCUGGGAGCACAGGGGUUGCCGGCACCCAACAGAAGCUGGAGGAGGUGGGAAGGAUCCUCCCUAGAGCCUUGGGAGGGGGCCCGGUCCUGUGACACCCAGAUUUUGGAUUUCUGGCCUUCGGAACUGAGAGAGCACACAUUUCUGCGGUUUGAAGCCACCAAAUUUUUGGUAAUUUGUUCUGGCCAGGAAAUUAAUACCAGGGAUAAAGGUGUUUUAAUGCAGACAAAGACAGUUUUUGAAUUAACCAAGCUUUGCGCAAGGCUGCCGGGAUUGACUGGGGGAAGUGAGGGACUCAGCAGCUUCCCCGACGCUCGCCAGGCACCGGCCUCCAUACACGCUUGCUGGCGGUGGCUACGGCAGGUCGCUCUUCAGGUGAAACCACAUAAUGAGCAGCCUUAAGCCUGUCGAUUUACACAGCAGAGGCUGCCUGGCCUGGCGCUCUUCCUGGCUGGAGGACUCUGCCUUCCCCCUCUGCCUGCCUGUGGCCACUCCGGCUGCAGAGGAGACUGGCAGACGACGUUCUCAUCCCUGGUCGGGGCAAAAGUUCUGCUCAAAUAUGACAACGGUGAAACUCGGAAUAGCGACAGAGCCAACCCAUGAUUGAGGCAGGGCUGGAGGCUUUCUGGAAAACGCACGGAGAAACACGAGGGCCCAGCUGUGCCCUGGGCCGCCCCAUGAGUCCAGCCUUCUUCGUCCUAGUCCCUUCUCCAAAGAAAGGACAAAACCACUGAAAGGGUUCGUCUGGGUCACAAACGUCCCAAAUUGGCUUCCGCGUGGAAACUAAACAAGGGUAGGUCCCAGCCCCUGGGAUUCAGGUGAAACCCGAGGCCUGUCUGAGGUCACAGCGUCUUCCCGAGGACGUCAGCCCUGUUGGCUGUGUCUGGGGCCAGGCUGAGGCAUAGCGGGCCAGGAGGCCGAGCUUCCCAAAGGAGCUGCACUGUCUUUUCCUUAGAAUAUGAAAUCAAUGUCUGCCACCUUGAAUCCUCAUGGACAAGACUCCUUGGAAGCCAGCCUGUGUCAGGGCCAGCGUCCCCCAGGGCUGACACCUACACCCUCGCAUUCUCAGCGUGACUCGGGACAGUGGCAGAACCCGCUGGGUUCUCUCUACGGGAGUGCUUUUUUUUUUUCUUUUCUUUUUUUUUUUUUUUUUUUUUUUUGAGUCGGAGUUUCACUCUUGUUGCCCAGGCUGGAGUACAAUGGUGUGAUCUCGGCUCACUGCAACCUCCACCUCCUGGGUUCAAGCAGUUCUCCUGUCUCAGCCUCCCGAGUAGCUGGGAUUACAGGUGCACACCACCAUGCCUGGCUAAUUUUUGUAUUUUUAGUAGAGAUGAGGUUUCACGGUGUUGGCCAAGCUGGUCUCGAACUCCUGACCUCAAGUGAUCCACCUGCCUUGGCCUCCCGAAGUGCUGGGAUUUCUGGCGUGAGCCACCGCACCCAGCUCGGAGUGCGUUAUGACUAGAGGCAAAGACAGCAGCAUGAUCUUCAGCUUGCAAAUGAGACACAGAAUGACAAUGAAUCUUCACCGAAGUUAACUUGAACCUGGAUGGAUGAGUGGCCGGGUCGCCAAAAAGCUCCUCGGACCCUGCCAGAGUGUGAGCUCUGCCAGGAGGGCCGGGGCUCCAGGAUCCCAGGCUGGGCAGUCACUGGCUCCCCCAGGAAGGGCCACAUUCCGGUGGGCAGACAGAGGGUUGGGGAGGGUGGUGGGCAGCCAGCCGCCUGGAUCCCGGCCGGGGCACCGUCCCGCAGAGCUUGUCCCGCACAGACUCAGUUUCCUAACCCAGCAAGUGGGAGUCCACUGUGAGAAGUCCAGCCCUACGCAGAUGCGUGCGAAUCCCCUAAGAGCCAUGCCUGAGCCCUUGGCGGAAGCAGUUGGCUCCUCGUGUCAUGCAAAGGGCGGCAUUUUCAUUCCUAACAGGGAGGUGGCCCCGGAGCAUCCAGUUCAAAGGAGCUAGGAUGAUCCAGGGUCCUCUCACGUGGGCCUUGGUGAGUGGCCACACCCUCUGAGACCCCCUUUCAUCCCCAUAGAAAGGUCCUAGCAGGGCUGUGCCAGGGGGAUCCGCGGGUGGCAGGGUGGCCCCAUCUGCAGUGGGCCCAGGAGGAUAGCAACAGGACUUAGCAGUGGUGGGAUUGUAUUUCUGGGCCCUUCUUCCCCCACAGCCCACAGCCUCCUGACGGGACCCCUCCCCCCAGAACCUGAAGGACGGACCUCAGGUGUGGAGCUCCCUCACCAGACAGAGGGGAGGAGCCCAGGUCCAUCUCCUCAAAGGGACCCACCAGCCCCUCACGCGGCUGCACACAAGGCAGUCCCAGCCAGGCCCCAGGUUGAGGCAGACUCAGCCUAUGUCCUCAAGAGGCUCCCUGGAGAAGGCAGGACCCAGAAGCUUCUCUCUCGGCUGACAUGGCCUUUGCGGGCAGCCUUCCCACCCACAUCCCCAGCAUGAGCCCCAGCUCCUUGGAGCCCAGAGUCCAAGAAAUGGCCUUUCUGCCACUGACCCCUCCCGUGGAAUGGCUCCUCCCGAGCAGGGAACCUCUGCUGGGACCCGUCAGCUGCAAGAAGGCCCGUCCCCGAGAGAGCCCUGCAGGGCAAGGGGAGAGGGACCCCGGGGUAGGGGUGGAGAGCAGCUGAGGGGACAGACACAGAGAAGACCAGGCAGGGGCAUAGCCUGCUGAUGGGGGAUGCCAUCCUCUCGGUCACAGCUGAGCCAGGGCAGCCUCUAAGCUUCCUAAGUGGGGAAACCAAGGCAGAGAACCCCAGGACUGGGGCCACCGCUGUGGUCAGCCGGUUGGGGGUGGCCUGGGCCUCUCCAGUCUCCACUCUUCCAUCCAGCUUCAUGGGGAGCAACAUUUUUUUCACCUCAAGGCCAAAUUAGGAAGAACAAACAUGUUUUAUUUAUCAGUGUCACUUUUUUUUUUUUUUGUUUUAGAGACAGGGGUCUCACUAUGUUGCCCAGGUUGGACUUGAAUUCCUGGGCUCAAACAAUCCUCCUGCCUCAGCCUCCCAAGUUACUAGGACUACAGGUGCACCACUUAGUUACAUUUUUUUUAUACACGUGAAAACAGCUUUUUUGCUGGGCGCAGUGGCUCACGCCUGUAAUCCUAGCCCUUGGGGAGGCCGAGGCAGGUGGAUCACCUGAGGUCAGGAGUUCGAGACCAGCCUGGCCAACAUGGUGAAACCCCGUCUCUACUAAAAAUACAAAAAUUAGCUGGGUGUGAUGAUGGGAGCCUGUAGUCCCAUCUACUCAGGAGGCUGAGGCAGGAGAGUGGCAUGAACCAGGGAGGCGGAGGUGGCAGUGAGCCGAGAUCGCGCCAUUGCACUCCAGCCUGGGUGACAGAGUGAAACUCCAUCUCAAAAAAAAAAAAAAAAAAGAAAAGAAAAAGAAAGUAGUUUUUUUUCCCCCUAUGCUAAAAAUUCAAACAAAGCAAACAAGCAAAUUUUUAGAGAAGAAAAUUCCAUUGGCCACAAUCUGUAGCAGGGAGAGCUGUUUUUUUUGUUUUGUUUUUGUUUUUUUUUUGAGGCAGAGUCUUGCUCUGUCACCCAGACUGGAAUGCAGUGGUGCAAU
rnacentral:lncRNA from 1 species